AACCCUAGGCAGGGGAUCACUCGGCUCGUGGAUCGAUGAAGACCGCAGCUAAAUGCGCGUCAGAAUGUGAACUGCAGGACACAUGAACACUCGACACUGACGCCCAUGCACACUAACACAGUAGGGUAAUCGUAGGUUAAGCGGAA
rnacentral:rRNA from 1 species